CUUUCCCCGAAACGUCUUUGCAGUGAGGGCCUGUAUGUACUGAGGGACCGAAUGAAGACACACGUCUAACGCAAAAGUUUUAUUGAGAAGUUUAUUGACAAAUGCUGAAGAUUAAACAAAAGACUGUAACCUGUCCAGCUUGUACCCCACCUUUCACCACCGAGGCAACCGCCACAUAUGAUCAUGCCCACUCAAGACAAUGUGUGAGCUUCGACCAGAGGCGCCGUCUGAACCCUCGCAGGAGCAGCUCUAUGGUUAAAAUAGCAUCCAGUCUUCCUUUUAUGGAACCUGCAUCACCUUCCACACAGCAGGCGAGGAGGGCAGGAAGAAAAAUGCAGGAAAC